GCUUACGGCCAUACCAACCUGGCUAUGCCCGAUCUCGUCUGCUCUCGGAAGCUAAGCAGGUUUGGGCCUGGUUAGUACUUGGAUGGGAGAGACCGCCUGGGAAAUACCAGGUGCUGUAAGCU
rnacentral:rRNA from 1 species